CUAUGACCCUGAGAUUAAGAGUCUCAUGCUCUACAGACUGAACUAGCCAAGACUGUGGCAGCCAAACAUUCAUAGUGACAUAACUUUUUGAUCCUUAAAUGUUGGCUCUUCUUAUGAUUGUGAGGCUGAAUUUACCAGGCAGUGGAUUGUUCAUCCACUAAUAAGAAUGUGAGCUGAGUUUAGAUUGUCAUGAGACAGAUUAGUUUUUCCCUACUGAUGAUGAUGUAUUGUUGCCAUCAUAAUACUGCUCAGUACAAGAGGAACCACAGGCUCAGACAUUUGGUGUAUGUGCUUGGCUGAGGAGCCAAUAGUGUGAAGCUACCAUCUGUGGGAUUAUGACUGAAUGCCUGUAAGUCAGAAUUCUGGCAGAACAAUAUGGCAGUGCCAAAGGAGCCUCGGUUGG
rnacentral:ncRNA from 1 species